rnacentral:tRNA from 1 species
GAUGAGAUGGCUGAGUUUAAGCGAUAAAUUGUAAAUUUAUUUACGAAAAUAAUUUCUCUCAUUA